rnacentral:misc_RNA from 1 species
UUUCCGUAGGUGAACCUGCGGAAGGAUCAUUAUUGUAUAACCGAGGUGCGAGGGCUGUCGCUGACCCGAAAGGUCGUGCACGCCCGAGUGCCCUCACACACAUCCAUCUCACCUCGAUGUGCACCACCGCGUGGGUCCCCCUUUGGCUUGUUCGGAGGGGGGCUUACGUUUUCACACAAACUUUGUAUGCAGUGUAGAAUGUAUUUUUGUUUUUGCGAUCACGCAACCAGUACAACUUUCAACAACGGAUCUCUUGGCUCUC